rnacentral:siRNA from 1 species
AAGUGUGCCAUGAUAAUCUCAUUA